AUCCAGUUGACGAGUCCCAAAUAGGACGAAAAGCGCGUUCUGGAU
rfam:Schistosoma margrebowiei strain Zambia genome assembly, scaffold: SMRZ_contig0001590